GUGUUUCAUUCCCGUGUGUAUUUAUUUCCAAGACGUUGUCAUCUGUGUAGAAGCCAGUUUCGAUCGCUGGUGUCUACCCCUUGCCCUGCGGGCAGGGCAUUGAGCGGCACCCGUUGCCGGCCACCUGGGUGCAGGAGAUCGAGGAGGGUGAAGAGAGGAGCAACCCUCAGCAUCUGCCAUCCUGCUCCAUCCGAUCUAGAGAUGGAGCGAAUCCGGCAGAUGCUGAGGAGGAAGGCCGGGCAGGUGGAUCCACGGCCAGCAAACAUCAGCCGGCCUGCCCAG